rnacentral:piRNA from 1 species
UGGCAGGCCAAAGACUUCCCUUUCAG